UUGAAACUUGUUCUUGAUCGGCACUCAGGCCUGAAUUCACGGCACUGGGGCUGUUUCUUUCUUGGUUGACUGGUUUCUUUGUUUCUUUCUUGGACUAAGAAUCCAUUGAGCUAACGGUAUUCUUUCCGCUGCAUGAAGAACGUGGUCUGCAUGCUUCCCAUGCAGAGCCAAACUAAGCUGCCAAUGGUUCCCAUGCAGACCACGUUCUUCAUGCAGCGCCAAGAACAAGCUAAAAGAUCUAACGCCUUUGGUUACUGUUGAUUCUGAUGAUUCUACCGUUGAGUUGCCGUUCUCAAGCAAGAGGAAGGCAGCAAACGCCUUUGGUUACUGCCUUGAAU
rnacentral:lncRNA from 1 species